CAGGAACCUGGGAGUUUCUGUUUUUGCUCUACUGCCCUGUGAAGAAGGCCUCAGGGUUGAUUGGGGCUGGUUAGACAUUGGCCCCGGAGAGUGUCUCUUUGGAGCCUUCAGAGAGCUGCCUUGGAAGAAUGGCACGCAUGCCUAUUGAAUUUCUCUUUCAGGCUUUUGGGCUCAUUAUGAUUCUGAGGGCAUGUUUUCCUUUGAUUCAGAUCAUAAGUUCCUUGAGAACACUGACUACCUCCCCUGUGCCUCAAGAAGAACCUUGAGCAUGUCUUGCCACGCUCAAAGAAUUUAUCAGCUAUCUGCCAACCUAUUGGAGACGAGUCUCUCCAUAUUUGGUGAGACUGAUGUUCAGCCAUCUGCUGCUGGGACCAAGUCUUCCAGAAUGAGAAAGAGUUGAAGUAUGAAAUGUUGGAGGAAGAGAGGUAAGGAGUUAUCUAGCCUAUCCUAAGUGCUGAUCCAAUGAAAUUCAGUUCAUUCCCUGACAAAGUUCCAGACUCCACAUGGAAGUCCAAGUCACUCACCAGCAAGCCAAUGCAGGAUCCAAGGAAAAAAGUCUUUCCACAGAACUCAAACUGAAGGAAGUAUCCCACUGAAGUGCCAAAGAGCAGAGAGGGUCUCCUCACAGAGCCACCAAGGCAGGAAUAUCUCUAAGCCAGAAGAUCUGGUGGUGUCUUUAACCAGGGUUCCACAAACACAGCCUCCUCCAAAGCCAAAGCAGGAAUCUCUGCAACCAAUCUCUCCAGAAGCCAGGAAAAGAAUAAAUGCUAGACCUUGUUGGUCUCUUUUUGUACC
rnacentral:lncRNA from 1 species